UAGGGAAUCUUCCACAAUGGGCGCAAGCCUGAUGGAGCAACACCGCGUGAGUGAAGAAGGGUUUCGGCUCGUAAAACUCUGUUGGUAGAGAAGAACGUUGGUGAGAGUGGAAAGCUCAUCAAGUGACGGUAACUACCCAGAAAGGGACGGCUAACUACGUGCCAG
rnacentral:rRNA from 1 species